UUCAUUAUUCCACGUGAAGAUUUAAAUGAAUUAGCCGAUUUGGCUUAAAAUAUAGUACUUUUUGCAUUUAACGGUUAAAAGUUUAUUUUCACAUUUGCCGACACGUGGAUUUUCUCUGCGUGACUAUAACCCACGCAGUCAGUACUUUCACAACUCUGCUAAAUAAAAUUAUCAGUAAGACUUAAACAUCUGCAAAUGUUUGCGAUUAAAUUAUUACAAUUUUAGGGCGUUUUUUUGGUUAUAAUAAAUCAACAAUCCGGCUUCCACAAUAAAUAGAAAUUCUAAAAAAAAUCGUAUCUCACAGCUGCUAAAACUGUGAAACUGUCUAAAGUAAUUGCUUCACAUUAUGCAUCUUAUCUUUGCGAAAUCAAAAUGAGAACAAAAGCGCCUAAGUGAUUUCUCCGCGAAGAGAACAUCUACUGCGAGACAACAAUAAAAUUAUUAAAAAUAUUGAUAACUUUAUCAGGCCAAAAAUUUCCGUUAAAACAUUUUAUUACCGAUAAAAAACAAAAAGAAACAAAUAGAUUAAGUGCUUUAAAAACUAGCAAAAUACUCAAAGAAAAUAACAUAAUAAACGUGCUCAUCAUUAGUGGCUUUGCUAACUUUCUAAAAAAAAUAAACUUAAAUUCAAAGACGAGGAAAUUUAAUUUGAUUCACUCAUCAUUCAGCAAAUAAAUUAUGGCAAUGCCAUCAGUAUUCAUCAUCAAACCUAGUUUACGAAUGAGAAUAUUUAAUUGAAGUCUGAUUCAUCACUUAUUGUUCAUUAAGGAAUGCAGAUUCAUUGUUUAAAGCUGAAGAAAUUGACUAAUGAAUGAGUGGUUUUUACGAUAAACACGUGAAAAACGUGGCUGAUGGUUUGCCACACUUACUUGUUUCAUAUCAAUAAAAUAACUGCAUACUAAAUAAGAAUAUCUCGUUUUUAGCAAUUAUUUUAGUUGUGUGUUUUUUCCUUUCAAAUAAUCUUCGUACAGUAAUAAUUGCUCACGAUUCGUGGUGAAUGGUAACCAGCUAAUUAUUAGCAUAGAUCCAAACAUGAGUAAUUAGGUUUAUGAUUAGUUCAGUCUUAACACAUUUAAACAGUUGCAAUUAAAAAAAUUAAGCCACAAGCUGCAAAAAUCGAAAAAUCUUCGCAGCAACUUUCCAGAACUUUCUUGUGCUAGAUCGCAGACGUAGGUGUGCAAAACCUUUACUUGGUGCUAAUGAUAAUGGCCAGUAAUGUCAAUAAAAUUAUUUCUUGCAACACUGCGGAAAAAAACAUUUUUCAAUCCUUGUGUAAAAAUGCGCACGGACUGACUUAUGCACGCGGCACCACAUUUCCGAUGGUCCAUACAUUACAAGCAUCUGUGUGGUGCCGUGGGCUUACAAACUCGUAUAAAAAUCGAGUCAGGCAACACAUUAUCCAUUCAUUUACUUCCUUGUGAUAAGUAGGUGUACGUUAUUUAUCUAACCCACACUAUGGCGAGCACUGCAUGCUGCAAAAUUGGUUCUGACGGUACUCACACCGUCAUCAAGCAGUGCAUUUUGAAGACCGACGAAGGGGAAUUCGACUGCGAAUGCAUAUGCAAGUGUGAGUGCACCGGCGAUUGCAAAAAUUGCACCUGUGACUGCAAAUGCACUCCAGAGACUGCCCAGAAGAUCCAAACGGCAGAUGGUGUCAAAUACCGAUGCGAGUGUAAAUGCAAAUGUUGAAUUUUGUCAAUAAACGGGUGAAAUUUU